rnacentral:rRNA from 1 species
CCGACAGGGGCGCCUGCCAAUCCUUGCAGUUCGAGCGGACAGAAGGGAAGCUCGCUCCCGGAGGUUAGCGGCGGAGGGGUGAGUAACACGUGGGUAACCUGCCUGUAAGAGUGGGAGAACUCCGGGAAACCGGAGCUAAUACCGGAGAGUUCCUUGAACCGCAUGGUUCAAGGAGGAGAGAGGGUUUCGGCUGUCACUUACAGAGUGGACCCGCGGCGCAUUAGCUAGUUGGUGGAGAUAAUGGCUCCACCAAGGCGAUCCAUGCGCUACCCACCCGAGGAGGGGUGAUUCGCCCACACGGGGGGAAUGAGACACCGCCCCAGACUCCUACGGGAGGGGCAGCAGUAGGGAAUUCUUCCCCAAAGGGAAGAAAGUUCUGAAGGAAAAACGCCGCCGUGAGUUUGAUGAAGGUUUUUCGGAAAUCGUAAAGCUCUUGUUUUGUUAGGGAAGAAAACAAGUUGCGAGAGUUUAACUUUGCUCGCACCCUUUGGACGGUAACCCUAACCAGAAAAGCCAAGGGGCUAACUUACGUUGCCAGGCCAGCCGCCGGUAAUUACGUUAGGUGGCCAAAGCGGUUUGUCCGGGAAUUUAAUUGGGCGGUAAAAGGGGCUCGCCAGGCGGGUUUUCUUUAAGUUCUGAAUGUGAAAAGCCCCCCGGGCUCAACCCGGGGGAGGGGUCAUUUGGGAAACUGGGGAAAACUUUGAGUUGCAGAAGAAGGAGAAGUGGGAAUUUCCACGUUGUAGCGGGUGAAAAUGCGUUAGAGAUGUUGGAAGGAACACCAGUUGGCGAAAGGCGACUCUCUUGGUCUUGUAACUGACCCCUGAAGGAGCCGAAAGCGUGGGGGAGCGAACAGGGAUUAGAUACCCCUGGGUAGUCCACGCCCGUAAACGAUGAGUGCUAAGUGUUAUGGGGGGUUUCCCCCCCCUUAGUGCUGCAGCUAACGCAUUAAGCACUCCGCCCGGGGGAGUACGGUCGCAAGACUGAAACUCAAAGGAAUUGACGGGGGCCCGCACAAGCGGUGGAGCAUGUGGUUUAAUUCGAAGCAACGCGAAGAACCUUACCAGGUCUUGACAUCCUCUGACAACCCUAGAGAUAGGGCUUUCCCUUCCGGGACAAAGUGACAGGUGGUGCAAGGUUGUCCUCCAGCUCGUGUCCUGAAAUAUUGGGUUAAGUCCCCCAACAAGCGCAACCCUUGAUCUUAGUUCCCAGCAUUCAGUUGGCCACUCUAAGGUGACUGCCGGUGACAAACCGGAGAAAGGUGGGGAUGACGUCAAAUCAUCAUGCCCCUUAUAACCUGGGCUACACACGUGCUACAAUGAACAGAACAAAGGGCUGCAAGACCGCAAGGUUUAGCCAAUCCCAUAAAUCUGUUCUCAGUUCGGAUCGCAGUCUGCAACUCGACUGCGUGAAGCUGGAAUCGCUAGUAAUCGCGGAUCAGCAUGCCGCGGUGAAUACGUUCCCGGGCCUUGUACACACCGCCCGUCACACCACGAGGAGUUUGCAACACCCGUAAGUCGGUGAGGUAACCUUUAGGAGCCAGCCGCUGAAAGUGACAAAUGAUUGGA